rnacentral:rRNA from 1 species
GACGUAGGGUCCAAGCGUUGUCCGGAUUUACUGGGCGUAAAGAGCGCGUAGGCGGCUCGGUAAGUGUGAAGUGAAAUCUCUAGGGCUCAACCCAGAAACUGCUUUACAUACUGUCGAGCUGGAGUGAUGAAGAGGUUUGUGGAAUUCCUGGUGUAGCGGUGAAAUGCGUUGAUAUCAGGAGGAACACCAGUGGCGAAGGCGAGUCCCUGGACGACACCUGACACUGAGGCACGAAAGCCAAGGGAGCAAACAGG